CCUACGGGCGGCAGCAGUGGGGAAUUUUGCGCAAUGGGGGCAACCCUGACGCAGCAACGCCGCGUGAGUGAUGAAGGCCUUCGGGUCGUAAAGCUCUGUCAUAGGGGAAGAAAUGCAGGUGGUGAACAACCAUUCUGUUUGACGGUACCCUCAAAGGAAGCACCGGCUAACUCCGUGCCAGCAGCCGCGGUAAUACGGAGGGUGCGAGCGUUGUUCGGAAUUAUUGGGCGUAAAGCGCGUGUAGGCGGUUUGUUAAGUCUGAUGUAAAAGCCCCGGGCUAAACCUGGGAAGUGCAUUGGAUACUGGCAGACUUGAGUACGGGAGAGGAGAGUGAAAUUCCCAGUGUAGGAGUGAAAUCCGUAGAUAUUGGGAGGAACACCGGAGGCGAAGGCGGUCUCCUGGCCCGUUACUGACGCUCAGGCACGAAAGCGUGGGGAGCGAACGGGAUUAGAUCCCAUGGUAGU
rnacentral:rRNA from 1 species